GACGAACGCUGGCGGCGUGCUUAACACAUGCAAGUCGAACGGAAAGGCCCUGCUUUUGUGGGGUGCUCGAGUGGCGAACGGGUGAGUAACACGUGAGUAACCUGCCCUUGACUUUGGGAUAACUUCAGGAAACUGGGGCUAAUACCGGAUAGGAGCUCCUGCUGCAUGGUGGGGGUUGGAAAGUUUCGGCGGUUGGGGAUGGACUCGCGGCUUAUCAGCUUGUUGGUGGGGUAGUGGCUUACCAAGGCUUUGACGGGUAGCCGGCCUGAGAGGGUGACCGGCCACAGUGGGAGUGAGAUACGGCCCAGACUCCUACGGGAGGCAGCAGUGGGGAAUAUUGCACAAUGGGCGGAAGCCUGAUGCAGCAACGCCGCGUGCGGGAUGACGGCCUUCGGGGUGUAAACCGCUUUCGCCUGUGACGAAGCGUGAGUGACGGUAAUGGGUAAAGAAGCACCGGCUAACUACGUG
rnacentral:rRNA from 1 species